UGGGGAAUUUUGGACAAUGGGGGCAACCCUGAUCCAGCAAUGCCGCGUGUGUGAAGAAGGCCUUCGGGUUGUAAAGCACUUUUGUCCGGAAAGAAAUCCCUUGCCCUAAUACGGCGGGGGGAUGACGGUACCGGAAGAAUAAGCACCGGCUAACUACGUGCCAGCAGCCGCGGUAAUACGUAGGGUGCGAGCGUUAAUCGGAAUUACUGGGCGUAAAGCGUGCGCAGGCGGUUUUGUAAGACAGGCGUGAAAUCCCCGAGCUCAACUUGGGAAUGGCGCUUGUGACUGCAAGGCUAGAGUAUGUCAGAGGGGGGUAGAAUUCCACGUGUAGCAGUGAAAUGCGUAGAGAUGUGGAGGAAUACCGAUGGCGAAGGCAGCCCCCUGGGACGUCACUGACGCUCAUGCACGAAAGCGUGGGGAGCAAACAGGAUUAGAUACCCUGGUAGUCCACGCCCUAAACGAUGUCAACUAGUUGUUGGGGAUUCAUUUCUUCAGUAACGUAGCUAACGCGUGAAGUUGACCGCCUGGGGAGUACGGCCGCAAGAUUA
rnacentral:rRNA from 1 species